CCCGGCCCCUCCGCCGCCACCCCCGCGCCGGAGGGUCGCGGCCAGCGCCGCGCUGCCCGUUCCCCUCAGCGCCCCGGCCGAGCCCUGCUGCGGAGAGGAGCCUCCCGCCUGCCCUUUGCGGUGUUCCCUCCCCGGCAGGUCCCGCACGGCGCGGCCCCGCAGCGCCCAGGCCCCUCAAGCGACUUGCCCGGGGGCUGUCGGGGGUCGGGAGCGAGAGGAGCCUGGGCCGAGUCACUUGGGCUCGUGGCGGCCGAGGUCGUGUUUUGGGGUCUGCAAGAGUCAGAAAAUGUCUGCAGAGCCCCUGACUAAUUUUUGGAGGUCUAAAGACUCCUUUGGGGAUUAUAAAGGGAAGGGGGGGAGAGCUGGAGGAGACUGGAAGGUGAGGGCUGAGAUGGCCUGAAGCACUGUACUGAAGGGGGACGAGGUGUGUUGAAGUCUCUGGAAAAAAGCCCGAGAGAUCUGAUGUUUCUGCAUGUUUUCUGCUGGUUCUUGCUUGCUCCUUCUUCUUGUGUCCGGUGCUGGGUGCUCCCCUUGCCGCAGGGGUCACGGACAGCCUGGUGCAGAAAUGGGACUGUGCCCCAUGGGCGGUCCCAUGGGGGUUUGUGUUGGUGAGCAUUGUCUGUGUGGAUAACAGAAAGGACUCUCCUGCUUACUGCCCUAGGAGCCAGAGCAUCUGUGACAUUUCUUUAGUCUUCAUUAAGGACCUUCAGUGAGUUACCUACCAUGGGAGUCGGGAUAUCAGCAGCCUCCAAAGUCUGUGAAGGCUGGCAUGGGACAGAGCACCGCCUAGGAAGCUGUGUCAGGAGCACUCACCUCUUGACACGGCUGCUAAUAGGUGGUUAUUACAGCCCAUUUUGCUGAGAGCUGAGGUUUGCCUCUGACAGCUGCUCUGGUGAUAAAGUGUUUCACCUCAUCUAAAAAUCAUAAACCUUUAAAAUACUCCUCUUUGUCUUUCAUAUUUGAAAUUAAAUAUUGUUACAAGUUUGGUAAGUUAGUUAUAAAAAAGGAUAUGAUUACAUAAAACAGAAGCAUCACCUUGGUAAGAGAUUUAUUUUGAAAUUAUGUCUAUAAAGUGCCAUUAAAGGAUGGUUUAAAAUAAGUCUUAGUGCAGAUGAACUGACAGUGGGCUCUGAAUAUUUUUGCACUGAGCAAACUAUUCAUUUACAUUAGUGGGGCAUCUGGUUCAUGAGAAAAAUUCUAAUUUUAUAAUCAAUCACAGAUUGUUUGCUCUCAUUUAAUUUAUGCUGUUUUACACCUUUAUAUAAGCUAUAUGAUUUUAUGCCUUCCUUCCUUUCUUCCUUCCUUCCUUCCUGUCUGUCUGUCUGUCUGUCUGUCUGUUACAAGGAGAAUUCUAGUCCAAAGUAAGAAGCCUAUUCACUCAUUCUAAUAGCAGGGGAGCCUGAAGUGGGGAGGACAGUCCUCCUCCCACCCAUUCAGUGCAAAAUUCCUGUUGACUGCAUGAAAGCAAAGCUAGUUUUAAAACUCUCCAAAUUCAUAGCAAAGUGAAAAAUUAUUUUGUGAUGCAAGGAAGAUAUGAGAAAUGUCUGUCCUAAUUACAAGUGACCAGUUGCAAUAUUUUAUAGAAACUUUUCGGUGAAAUCCAAUUCCAAACUCAUGAGGUAUGGAAAAUGUUCUUUAUCAUGCCUUCAUUAUUAACUUGAACAGGGAAAUUUUCAGUGUUUUGCUGAAUAUAUAGCUUACUGUGUUGGAACUCUGGAAUAUAUGUCAUUUAAUACCUUUUCAAGAAGAAUCCGUUCUCUCCAGUCCUGCUUUAGUAGGAUGACUUAUUCAUGAUACAUAGUACAAAAGAGUACUGAAAUUGUAGUGUUCUCUCCAAGGCCGUGUGUCUUUGAAAGGAUGGCAGAUAUUCCUUAAAACAUUGUUUUCAUGCUGUGUGUAUCAUAAAUACACUUACUUUUGCAUGGGCCUGAUCCUACAAGUGUGCUAAACAUAAAACUUAAAUCUGUGUACAAGGUGCUUUAGUGGACAAAGCUGUUCAAUCUGUAGGUGAGAGAUGUUACAGAAACUUUUAAGAUCAAACCUUUCACCCUGUUGCCUCAUUUUCCUGUGUGUAAAGUAAAGCUCAUGUCUGGCUGUAAACCUAACUAGGUCAGGAGUAGAUUUUUUGAAGAUGUGUAAAAUCAAGUAAAGAAUUACAGUCACAGUUCUACGUUGCAGCUAUAGCAGUUCUACCAUAGCAGAACUCCUCCCUGGUUUUUUGGCAAUUCAACAGUAACACCACUAUCAUUAAAUACAGGGUAAUUCCUUACCAACAAAGAUGCCAGGAGCAAUACAGGUUACAAUCUCAGCAAAUUCCAAGACAAACUGCAAUAAAUUAUUUCCUACUCAUGUGAAUAAUUUUUUUCACAUCUACUUUGUUUUCUGGAAUUUUGAUCAUUCUUCUGUUUUGAAGUACAUAUAAAUUUUAAUUUUUUUCUUCAUAUUAUUGAAACUUUCAAUCAACAGUUUUCUCAGGAUUCCUUGAUUUUUUUUUCCCUUCUUGCAAUGUCUUCUAUAGUCUUAGGUCUAUUUUUACCACCAGUAUAUUUUGCCAGUUUCAUAUCCACAAGUCCAACCUUCUGUGUUGGAAGAACUUUGUAGUCUGUCAUUCAUGUAAAUAAUAGUCUAAUAGAAGGUCUGUUGAAAUUAUUUUUACUGGAAAAUUGGGCUUUCUCCAAAACCUGCUGUUGGCAGGGUUGAUUCCUCAAUGAUAAAUGUGGUUGCUUGCUGAAUUUUCAGGUAAUAUACUUUGUCUAUUUUUUGUCUUUUUUUCAUCCCCCUUUGGAUAGUUCAGUAACUGUUCUGAUUCAGUUUCCACUAAGAAGUAAUUUAUCAUGUCAUUUUUCAUUUUAAGAGUUGAGGAGCACAUCUGUUAUGGCAUUUGUCCCUAUACAGAGAGUCAGUGAAGACAACUGAAACCCUUACAUCACAUUUUUGUGGUCUAUAAAGCUCAUUAAAUAUUAAGCCAUUCCUGUGGGUUUCAGUUUGAACCAGAUUCCAAGAGCAGUGAAUGAAAAUAAAAAUUUUACGAUUACAGAUUUCAUAAAGUUUUUAUUUCUAAUCAAAAGCAUGAGCUAUGAGGAUGUUCAUAGUAGCAUUGUAUUCAAGUAUAAGAAAUAAAAUUCUGAAUUUUCUCAAUGCAGAAAGAAAUGAAGUAACUGUUGGGCCAUCAGACUGGAUGUCAGUAUCAGCCACAGGGAGAUGGAAUAAUGCUCCUUACUGUUAGAAGGAAGACUCAUCUCCAUGCAGGUAUUCCUGUUCCUUGUGUAGGCAAGACAUCAGUAAUUUGCAAGUCUGGCUUAGUGUGAUUUCUGUUAGAUUUGGUGAGAUGGAUAGUUACCCUGAAGGAAAACAGUUCAUCUUAGAGACAUGAACAUCUCUACAGUCUUAAUAAUACAUUCUUAGAGAAUAUAGAUCUAUUCCAAAAAUACAGAUACAUCUGACAUAAUACAGGUGUUAUGCAGUGUUUUAUAAUCUAGAAUUGAUUGGUUGAUUUUGCAACUUGCUCACAUAGAUGUCUCCCAUUUAGGAAAAUGGUGCAAGCAUUAUAUUUCCUAAAACAACAUCUUGUUGAUAGAAUCACUGUCAUUGAUACCCAGCCAUUGUAUUAAAGAAUACUUUUGUUUCAAAUCUAGACAAUCAGUUUUUAUUUUUUAAGAAGCAUUGCUUAAUAAUUUCCAUGCAGGAAAGUCUUAGACCAUCAGCAUGUCCUUUUUUCCUUUUUUUCCCUUUUUUUUUUUUUUAAUUUAUCAGUACUUGAAUAAUCUGGUAUUCUUAAACCCCUCAGGCAAACUCUUUGACUUCCUCUGCCUGGCAGAUGGGUUUUAGCCAUGUAUUGUUUCUUAAAAUGUUUAUGUUGUCACACUGAUCAUAUUUUUCUCAGCUGGAAAAACAUUUUUGUAGAAAAUCCUGUUUGCUGGUUGUCUCAAAGGUUUUAAACGUGCUUGUACCUUUCAUUUAGGCCAAAAAAAUUUUACAUGCAGGUAUUUUAUAUUGCUUUGGGGGAGCAUCAAAGCUAAAGCUUAGCAAGUCAAACAUCUUUUAUGAAUGGUGCUUUUUUGUAUGGAUAGGAAGCUAGUUCAAUUAAAAUAGUCAAAACCCCCAAGAAUAAAGACAUGUCUCUUCUAAAAAUUUUGCAGGGGUUUCUCUCAGAUUAACUUUGAAAUCAUAUCCUGAAUUUUAUUUGCAUUUCAGUUCCUAUUCUUGACACAUUUGAGGGUUUGUGGGUUUUUUAAGAUUUCUAAAUGAGCUUUAUCUAGCCCUAGCAUCAAAUAUUACUGGUUUUGGAAGGCAGUGGUUGUUUCCAUUGUGUAACACUGAUAGGGCCACUUAUGAGUCAUUGAGGAAAAAACACCAGAAUGUCCCACUGAGGAGGACAAAAUGCAUCAAAAAUUGCAAAGGUCCACCACCUCUGUAAUUCUUCUGAUCUGAAAUACGCUUUGCAUUAGAACUUGUUCUGCCUGUAUUAAUUAUGCACAGCACUAGACACAAGCAGGAUGCUUUCUAGCAUGAAAGCUGGGCCUAAAAUAACAGGAAAAGAGGACUUGGAUUCAAAGAACAUGGGCUGAAACAGGUCAUGAAUGGAAUUUUGCAUGAAGCUGGAGAGGGUUUUUCUAUCUCAGGAAAGUGUAAGAACUUGAUGUAAAUUAACUCUUGAAGGAGAGUGUGCUGAUUAAGGGCAGACUGUUCCCACCCUGAGAAGUAGCCACAGUCUGGAUUCCCCUCUGCUGGCUAACUCCAGCUUGGCAUGGUUAGAUGUGUUCUCACAUACCACUCUCCAGUCUCAGCAACUUAAAAUUCCUGAUUCAUCCUACAGUGGGAGCUGCAGCAGGGCUGCAAACCAUGCGUGAGUCCUGCUCUGGCUGCAUGCACAUGGCAGCAGCUGAUGGAUGGGAGCCCCCAGAGUUCCUUCUCCCUGCCUCCUCAGCCAAGUCCCAGCGGACCAGGGCUGGCAUCCCCUGGCACAGGUGGCAGCCAAGUGACAAGCUGUACUUGCUCGUGACACACAGUGUUAGAAGGGUCACGCCAGGUGCUCUUGUUGAUUCACCAGUGAGUGAAAUGCAAUGGCAUAUCUCCACAUGAGCUGGCUCAAAUCUUGCUGCUGGCUAGUCAGCAGUGCACAAAUCUGGGUUUAAUAAAUAUGGAACCAUAAAUUCAGACAGGAGCAGGAACUGGCAACUAAUGAUUUUGACUUAUUGUGGCCUCUGAGCUGUUUGUGCAGCUGUUCAUGAAGCCAUGCUGUAAAUCAAAUCACUCAAUCCAGAUUUUUAAAGUUCUGUCUAAUCUAAUCAUUUUUAACCAGAAUUUUUCCAUAGAUUAAAUUCACGCUCUGGACCCACAAACAGUUGCAUUGGCACAAUUGCAGCCCUGGUAGACUGUGACACACAGAUGGUGUGGAAAGAAGGAAGGGAGGCUGGUAAGUUUGUCUGUGGGGACAAUAUCCUUGUAUAAUUAUGACCUUGCUCUGAACCACAGACUCUCCAUUAAUUUCACUUUCUGAUCCCUCAUGCUCAGCCCUUCUCAAACUGAGCCUAUACUCAGGCUCACAUGCUAGUUAUGUCUCAUCUGUGCAAUCCUAGAUCAUCUAAUGGUAAUAAAUUGAUCAAGAUUAAAUAUGAACAUGUAUUUGCAUUUCUCUCAAGUUAGUGAGCUGUGAGUUACAGUGUUUAGACCAAGCUUUAUCCUGGCUUUUUACUGGCAGCAGGAAGACAGAUGAUAUCAACUCUUAACGUAAAACCAUCAGAAGGAAAACUAUUCACCAGUCCUUGUUUUUGAGGGUUUUGGGUUUUAAAUAACUUUGUACUGCCAAGUUGAGUUUGUACAAAGAAUUUCAUGCCACAUUGCCAUCCAAAAAUUAAAUUUAUUGCAUCAUGAAAUUGCAGUUAUAUACUGCUGAGAGUAGGCUUUCAGCUUCUCUCAUAGGAUAUUUUUGAAUAUACCUGUUGAGUCUAGGGGAAAGGGGAUGAUUCUUUGUUAAAAGGUGAUAUGUAAUAUUUUAAAUUCUUAUGGUCUCUAGCCAGGAAAGGUCCCUGUUACAGCUGUUGCAGUUAGAAAGAAACAAAUGGAUCUUGGGCAGAAAAACAUUAUUUAAAUCCUUACCCUCUCAUGGUUACAUGUACUGUUUUAUACCUUUCAUAUCCUCACAGAUGUAAGAAUAAUCCCAUAUACAUCUAUACCAAAUAAAAAGGUUUUGGCAUUUUCCUACCAGAACUGAAGUGUACUUUCAAUUUGAAAAGCAGAUCCUCACCUUAAUUGUCUUUCCCCUGCUGUAUUUCUCUUUAUAGUCUUAAAGAAAUAACAGCUUUUCUCUAGGCACAAGAAGAUGUUAAGCAAGGGAGAGUCAAAGUGAAAACUUGGCAAGAGCUAAAACAAAGAAUUUUUCCAAGGAAAUGGAGUAGACAGGUAAAAUUAAUUCCUUAUGUAACUCCAUUUACCUCAGUACAGUUACAGGAAGGAUGAAUUUGGUACCUUAUACCUCUGUGGUCAGAAAAAGAUUUCUGUCAUCUCAAUCAGCACAGUAUAAAAUAAUAAUUCCUAAGAAACAGAAUUGUAAUUUGAGUCUGGUAGAACUGCCCUUGUUAUUUUUAGUCUAUUAAUAUGAUUGUAAAAGAACAAUACGUCUGCAGAACAACAAAAAAAAGUCUUCAUAAAAAGAUUAGUACAUGAUGAUUUGUAGCUUACAUCCUUGGUAACAUUUUUUUGUGGGAAAGAGGAAUUCAUGACAGACUGCUAAAAUGGGCAGGACAGCAGAGACAGCUUCUCUUUCUUGUAAGUUCCAGAAGCUUUUCUCCAGUUUGCUGCAUGGCAACUUCAACUUUUUCCCUUCAGUCUCAUCCUUCUCCUCUGACCACCCCUAAUUCAAAUUCUCCAUUCCCUCAAGACUGAUUGAGUUCCACUGUGUGUGCAGGGGCCUCUGUGGCUUCUCUUUACUGAUGAGUUUUUUUAGAUUUUUCUCCUCAGGCAGAAAUAUUCAGCCCCUUGGGAUAGAUAAAGGAGAGAUGCUCAACCUCCACCAUAAUUUCUUUUCAGAUUUUAAAUUUCAGUAUGUUUAAAUUUGAGAUGCUUUAAAAUAAUGCAAAUUCACUGUGAGAACCCAGCCUUCAUAUGCCAAUCUGUGGUACUAAAGUGUAGCUGUACCCAGAGAUUAUUUCCAUUUUAAAACCUUAUUAUGAAACAUCAUCCUUGCCUCUCCCACCCCACUGCCAAAUUCAGGAAAUACUUUUAGUAUCAAUGUUAAGAUCUUUUAAUGCAGUAACAUUAAAGCAUUCAUAUAGUGUAUUAGUGCAAUGAAAUUUAAGUCAACAGUCUGUCUUUUUUAUCCUUAACAACUUGCAACUCUCAGUUUUAACACAGGGGAAGGUGUCUGUGUAUACAAGCGUAUAAAAGAUGUGAAAAUACAAAGGCAUUUAUUGAAAACAGACAAAACCAGGAAGAUGAUAAAAUAGCAGAAGGAAGUGGCCUCACAUAUAAAAACUUUUGCUUUGUAUAGCAGAAUUUAUCACUAAAAGCUCUGGCUGGCAGCUUGCCAUGCUUUGGACUAAACAAGGAAUGUAACAUAAAAAAAAUUGACUUAGUGUACAAAACAAUAGAAACAACAAAGUCCUACAAAGUGAUUAAAUUAAACAUUUUUUUGUUUCCUUUUAACGUGUAUCUUUAAAAGUUUUGUUAUAUUUUCCAAUAGCAGAAAUCUUAUUUGCACAGAUGCAAGCUCUCCUCUUAAGGAUGUCUACAUCAAUCAGGUGUGCCAUUCAGCAGGAUAUGUGAAAUUCCCAAAUAUCCAAAUUAAACAGUGAUGGUGAAGCUAUACUUUGAAAGCAAAUAAUUUCAUUUCACAAUAGUGGAACCACUAAAGCAUAUUUUAUAAAAAGUUACUUCAGUUUUAAUGCACAAAGCUGCUUGAGAAAAUGUGGACUGCUCAAUGUUUUCACACUGGAUAAAGAAUACGUUUCUUAAAUAGACUAUGUUCUCCAUUGCUUUUUAUGUUAGUGGGAAAAAAAUUUGAAAGCAUUAGGGAAUAACAGUCCAGUUAUGCCUGAAAGACUUUCACAUAGCAGUCUUUGAAAUCUGCUGUUGAUGGAGAACACUUCAAAAGCAUGAGAAUCUGGGAUACUCAGUUCAGUUAUUGUACCAGCUGAGAACAAAUGAAUUAUUUUCUGCAAGGAUGUUCUUCCCCCUGGCCUGCUAAGGCCUGCAUUCUGCUAUUCCUGCUGGAAGUGGUAUCCAGUAGGACAUGGAUAAUGAGCACAGCUGAAUUCUCAUGACUAACAAAAUCCUGCCCCUGCUCUUUACUCUGAAAGGCUUUUCCAGAGCUCAGCAGUUAAGGAAGACUCCAAACCUGAAAAACAAGAUGGCAGAUAAUUACAAUUAAAACAAACAGCUAAUUUUUUCAACGUCUUAAUCACAUUUGCAAGAUAAAUACACUGCCAAGUACUAGUUAUGUUCUUAAAUAUUGUCUCAUUCACAGUUAAAACCUUUUCAUCUUGUUGUCAGGAGUGGUUAUCUCCUCCAUACAUUAAAUCAUUCCAUGAAGUAUUUCUAUGUAUUUCUUAUAUUUGAAUCUCCAGUGUCCUGAUUGUUUCUGUGGAAUUUCCAUAUUUACUCCCUACCAAGUACAGUUGCCUGGCAGUUCUUUUUCUAGCUGCUGCUUUUUCCUGAAAUGGUGUGGACUUCCUGCAUAUUUUGUACAAAGCAUUCUCUUCUGUAAAUGUAAUUUUAAUUUUGUUUUAGUAAAGCUGUGAUGUUCUGAUAUGAGUUAAAAAGAGAUAAAUUCUUCAUAUUCUUCAGCUAAAAUAAUGAAAUGCUGCCUUGAACCUAUUAGAAAUAAUAUUAUUUUUAUUAGAUCAUGAAACUGCAAGUAAUGACAGAUAAAUCAGUAUUCUUAUAAAUCUAAACUGCUAAUCAAUAAAAGAUGUUACUCCAGAAUAUUGACCAUAGGCAACAGCAAUGACUAAAGCAAUAUCUUUAUCACAAUGGGCUUUUGGGAGGUCUGUACUAAUUCCAGAGUAACACAACAGCAAAGAAGGGUGUGCUUUUCCCAUGCUUAAUGCAGCACCUACAGCUACACACUUGGGGUGCGCUUCCAUUCUUUCUACUGCACUUUUAAUCAUUUAUGGAAAGCACUUAGGCAGGAAUAUAUCCUUGAUCUAAACAAGCAGAUAUUAAUGCAUGUGUAUGUUUAUAUUUGAGUGUUUAUAUAUAGUUACUACAGGCAGUCAGGAAAACUACAGUUUCUGUUUUAUGUUCACGAAAUGGUCUUUUAGCUCUAGAUCACAAUAUCAGAGAUGUUCAUGCUGGGAGCAUGAUGAGCAAAAGACUCCCUGAAUGCUGCUGCAAAGCUGGUUGGACAUCCUGCCUUGGUUUCAGUCCACUUUUGAACCUUGUCCACUCACACUCAGCAGUCUCUUGGAUAAAGGGAACUCUUUAAUUUCCUUACAGGGCCCCUUACUAAAAGUUUAGACACAAACUCCACCUUUGAGUUUAGAGUCUGCCUCCAUUGUUAAAACAAUGCCUCCUCCCCUUCUGCUAACAAUCAAUAAUUGUUUAACACUUCUGUAGUAUUUCUUUACCCUGAUAACAACAGCAACUUUUUGAGAUGUCAUUUCAAAUAUAUCCCUGAAUAACUGAAUAAUUGAUCAAUAGUAGUAGAUAAAAAUACUAAAAUUAUGUUUAACUGCAGCACCAGCAUCAAGCAAAGUAAUACAAGACUUAUCAUGUCACAAAUGAACAUUGUGUAGCUGUGAAAGGAAAAAAAAUAGAAUUUAGUACUCCAGGAAGUAAAAAAGUUACACUUUCUUAUCAUAAAAAGCUUUAAUAACCUUGUUAAAAAUUGCUUUGAGCAAUUAAUGUGAGGCUAAGAUUAAAAAGCAGUAGUGAGCUUAAAGCUAUGUAGAGUCUUAUCAAAAGCUGUUACCAAUUUAAUCAUUCAAACAAAGUAGCAAAUGUUACCAUUUUAUAAACUGGAAUUCCAAAGACAUUUCUCUGAGAAGACCAGCCAUAUGCUAUAACUUUAGACAUGCUGUAUUUUAUUAUUAUAAUUGUCAGAUGGUAAAUUCUGUCUCAUUUUUUCAAGAUAAUACACCUAAAGAUGGCUGUUCUAUGAAGAGUACAGUAUUUGGAAUGUAUGCAAUAAAUUUCAAGGCCCUUCAGGAACAUGACAUUGUCUCAGUGGGAAUGGCUGGGAAGAUUCACAUUGACUCUGCUGUGCACAGGGCUGCACUUUUAACCCAGGCUAAAUUUAAUGAUGUUCCCAUAAAUCACCAAGUCCAGGCAUUGUAGCUCAGCUCACACAGGCAGAUCCUCAGCUCCAGAGCUCUGAUUAAGUCAACAGGGCUAGACAUCAGUACUGAUCUUGUGUGAUUGGAUUACAGGAUUGGAGCUGUGAUUUGUCCUGCUGAAACCACUCUAAGGUACUUAAACAGACAAAUCCUACUAUCAGAUUUCUUUUCUUAUUGAUUACACUUUCUGAAAUGCAAAAAAAAAAAAAAA